AGUGCCCUACGGGAGGCAGCAGUGAGGGAUAUUGGUCAAUGGGGGAAACCCUGAACCAGCAACGCCGCGUGAGGGAAGACGGUUUUCGGAUUGUAAACCUCUGUCCUCUGUGAAGAUGAUGACGGUAGCAGAGGAGGAAGCUCCGGCUAACUACGUGCCAGCAGCCGCGGUAAUACGUAGGGAGCGAGCGUUGUCCGGAUUUACUGGGUGUAAAGGGUGCGUAGGCGGCUAGGCAAGUCAGAAGUGAAAUCAAUGGGCUUAACCCAUGAACUGCUUUUGAAACUGCGUAGCUUGAGUGAAGUAGA
rnacentral:rRNA from 1 species